rnacentral:rRNA from 1 species
UACGUAGGGGGCAAGCGUUGUCCGGAAUUACUGGGCGUAAAGCGUGCGCAGGCGGUUCGUUGUGUCGGCGGUGAAAGCCCCGGGCUUAACCUGGGAAUGGCCGUUGAAACUGGCGAACUGGAGUGUGGCAGAGGGGGGUGGAAUUCCGCGUGUAGCAGUGAAAUGCGUAGAGAUGCGGAGGAACACCGAUGGCGAAGGCAGCCCCCUGGGCUGACACUGACGCUCAGGCACGAAAGCAUGGGGAGCAAACAGG